CUCUAUCUGUGUGUGAAGACAAGCAGAGAGGUAGGACUUCAUUAUUUCUCCUGCUGGCUUUCAUAUGUUCAGUGCAGAUGGAUGAAGCUGUGAAAUAAAUCAGCAGUGUGAAGUGACAGCACAAGCUGUGCACACUUCUCAUGUCACGACAAUAUGGCUGAUUCGUGCACGCUGACCGAGUCGUCAAAGUGACACUCGAGAGGACCGAGCCGUUCCUCGGGCAACGGAUGUGCUGCCAUGCAAAAGGUGAGCUGGUAAAACCUGAACCAUGUACAAGCCACAGAGUUCAGCUCACACUGGAGACGUCUCUGUGACUUCACCACCUCCACCCUCUGAGUCACCGCUUAAAACAUGGCUCUGGAGAUACAAACAUGUAGGUUCCCAGCUGGACACACAGCGCCUCCUGGUGGUGGCUCUGGUUUUGUUGGCUCUGUUUGUCAUGGUGCUGCUACUGUUGUGGAACUAUCAGUGCUUCAUAGUCACAAGAGUGUGCCAGGACCAGCAGGAUGGAUCAGAGUAUGUCCACUUUAUCACGGAUGAAAAAAGGCCUUCUAUUUAACUUAGAGAUGGCUGACAGAAACAAUGUUCUCUUUGAGAUAUACCAUAUUGAAAAAUGCACCAAUCACACAAUAAUUUUCAGCAUAAAAGUUUUGAUUAAAGAUUUAGAAAAAAAUGUUUUGUACUACUUGUUCUCAAGCAUCAGCCAAUUUACAUAGCAGUAAGAACAGAUAUCAUCUCAAAAGACUUUUAUAGAAAUCUGGAGAUUUAUAUUUACAUGCUUACUUAGCAAGGAAGAGUCAAUAGCAAGGCAAAUUCUCUGGAAUCACAUGAAGACACUUUCAGUGGAACCAGACACAAAAUAAAUCCAGACCUUUUCUAGAGUAACACACAAUAGUCUGCUUAUAAAUCAGUACUUUAUACCGGCUUAGAAAUUAAAGUUCAGCUUCUGUGAAUUGUCAAUAAGAGACCCGGGAUGAACAAAGAAAGGGUUUUAGGAUUACUGCAGCAGUCCAUAU